rnacentral:rRNA from 1 species
GAUGAACGCUAGCUACAGGCUUAACACAUGCAAGUCGAGGGGAAACGGCAUUAAGUGCUUGCACUUUUUGGACGUCGACCGGCGCACGGGUGAGUAACGCGUAUCCAACCUUCCCAUGACUAAGGGAUAACCUGCCGAAAGGCAGACUAAUACCUUAUGGUCUUCACUGACGGCAUCAGAUGUGAAGUAAAGAUUUAUCGGUUAUGGAUGGGGAUGCGUCUGAUUAGCUUGUUGGCGGGGUAACGGCCCACCAAGGCAACGAUCAGUAGGGGUUCUGAGAGGAAGGUCCCCCACAUUGGAACUGAGACACGGUCCAAACUCCUACGGGAGGCAGCAGUGAGGAAUAUUGGUCAAUGGGCGAGAGCCUGAACCAGCCAAGUAGCGUGCAGGAUGACGGCCCUAUGGGUUGUAAACUGCUUUUGUAUGGGGAUAAAGUCAAUCACGUGUGAUUGUUUGCAGGUACCAUACGAAUAAGAACCGGCUAAUUCCGUG